CAGCCACUAGUACAGUUCAGGCCUUAGGUAUCAGAGGGAGCGCACACAAAGAGCAGGAGAUGAGGAAGAGGACAAGAUGACACAGGAGAGGUGAUUGAUGCCCGGUGAGAAGGUGAAAGUGACCUUUACCCCUGUCAGCUGCAGGAAAGGAACCAAGAGACAGGUGAUUGAUGCCCGGUGAGAAGGUGAAAGUGACCUAUACCCCUGUCAGCUGCAGGAAAGGAACCAAGAGACAGGUGAUUGAUGCCCGGUGAGAGGGUGAAAGGGACCUAUACCCCUGUCAGCUGCAGGAAAGGAACAAAGAG